CCACCAUGCCACCUAGCUGCUCCUGUUGGCCUUUUUCGAGAGCUACAUACCAUGUGACCCAGUUGGCUCGGGAGGUAAAAGUGAGGCUGGUGACUAUGCACAGCUCUGCCUCACUUAAAUCCAAUUCACUUGCAUGUCAUGGCAUCACCUCCCUGAAGUCAUGGUCCUCUUUGAGAAUGAAGGACAAACAACAACGAUACACCAUGUGACCGUUGCUGUGCCCAUUAAAGGCUCUACCCCAAGCACUGAAAGAGAAGAUCUCCUCUCCAAGAUCAGAAUCAUCAAUAUUGCAGUUCUUUCUGAAUAAAAAAAGAAGACACUUUCCUUGGGUGGGUGACAGGCCAAUUUCUUUAGGGCUUGAGGAAGUCAAGGAUUUAAACCACUUCAAGAGAUAAGUUUGGUUAUCACCCUUUCUUCACAUCCUUAUUUCCUUUAAAAGAAAAGCCUUAGCUUUUAUUCUAUGCACUUUUGUGGUGUAUGGGUUUUCAGAGAAAACUUUUACUUCUGGUGUGAGGGCUGCCGAGCUCUUUUCAGGGCUGCUUUCCAUCUUUGAUGUCCACCUGAUUUAUCCAACUCUCACCUACGGCUCCAAGAAAUUGUAGCAUGGGGAGUGGCCAUGACCUAGUAAAGUGUUUCAGCAGAUAGGCUAAACCAGGUUGAGGGUAAUUGAAAGUCUCAAACUCAUAAGUGAGUUAGAGGUUUGUCUACCCCAAGCAUAUGAAGACUUCCUUGGCAGAAUAGGUGGGUGCGAACAAUUUGUUCUAAUGGGACAUGCAGGCGGUGGAAGCAGGUGCUCUGGAGUGCUCAGAACUUGUUUAAACAUCGAAGACAUCAAAGUCAUCCACUGAAUUUCAUGUCACCACCAGUCAUCUUGACUUUUGUUCUGCGAGUGAACUUUGAUGACUAGAAGAGAGAGUAAAGCUGACAACUUUGUGCAACUCUGCUUCACUUAAAUCCAAUGCAUGUACAAGUCAGAAGAUACCACCCACAUCAUUUUACUAUUUUUACCUACCUGAAAGUCUUGUGGCAAUGGGUAAGUGACAAAGCAGCAGAUGUGUAUGCACUGGGAGCUAUAGUCACAACCCUGCACCCAGGCAGCCCAGCCCAUAGGGUUGUCUUCGCAUCGUACCAAAGCAGCAGGGAGAUUCAGCAGUUCCCUGAGUGUCUGAGCAGACUUUUUUAAGGACCAUACUAUUCACCUCCUGGUGUGGGAAAGGGGCUAGAAAAGGUACCCUAAAACUUGUCCGCUUCACCUAACCUAAUCCUGGCCUGCUUACUAUGCAGCAGGCAGGGAUCCUACCCGGCGGUCAAAACACAAAAAAAUGUACAAAAACUUUUGCAAAGAUGAUUCCACUAACCAUUGGUACAUGCAAUGUGUGCAUACUGAUAGACAAUACUAAAUCCAGUAGACCUGAAAGAUGAAGAGCUCUUGUUGUGGGAAAACUUAGCAGGUAUCACCUCCAAAUAGCAGCCCUGAGUGAAAUAGAGCUGGCAAAUGAAGACCAGCUUACCUUAGUUGCAGCUGGAUACACGUUUUUCUGAUGUGGCUGCAGUGAUAGAGAAUACUGUGAAGCUGGCAUAAAUUUCAUAAUCAAAACUAAUCUAGUUAACAAGCUUGUAUGCCUCCCAAAUGGAGUGAAUGGCAGGCUCAUGACAAUGCAACACGCCACCAUCAUUAUCACAUGCUCCCACCACGAUGAACCCUGAUGAGGUCAAAGAAAAGUUUUAUAAAGACCUGGAUUCUCUCACCAUCAAUGUGCCAAAAGAGGACAAGUUUGUAAUUCUGAGUCACUUUAAGGCCAGAGUAAGCACAGACUAUCAGACUUGGCAGGGAAGAUCUUGGGAAGAAUGGAACCAGAAACAGCAAAGUGUUGCCUACUACUGGUCACUUACUACUGGAGACUUGUGGAUCUCAUGACCUUCUCAUCACUAACAUUGUCUUCCGCUUACCUAAAUGCAAUAAAACUUGAUGGAUGUACCCUUGCAUCAAACAUUGGCAUUUAAUAUACUACAUCGUUGUAAGGAGAAGAUACAGAAGGAUGUGAGAGUGACAAAGGUGAUGUGUAUCACAGAGCGCUGGAUAGGUCAUAGAUUUAUCCUCUCCUAGCCAAACAUUUGCAUUCAACAAAAGCUGUAGUUUCCAAGGCAAGACAACUACCAGAAGCUGUAAUGUCAACAGUGCUUCUCUGAGGGUGAACCCUUUGUUGCUAACUUAGAGUGAAAGUUGAGCCAACACAUGGUUGGCAAGAAUAGAACUGAAAAGGAGUGGGAAGCUUUCAGGGGUUUAGUGUAGAGCACUGCUUUUACCCAUCUGGGCCAGAACGCUUGCAAACUUCAAGAUUGGUUUGAUGAAAAUGAUGGUGAAAUUCAGAAGCUGCUAAACAAAAAAAAAAAUGAGAACUCUAUAACACUUAUCAGCAGGAUAGUUUGUCUGGCUCUAACUAGGCAGCGUUUAACUCCAUCAAAAGUAAAGUGCAAAUAUAAUGGAAUACUAUCGUGCUAUAAGAAAUGAUG